rnacentral:rRNA from 1 species
GAGUUUGAUCCUGGCUCAGAACGAACGCUGGCGGCAGGCUUAACACAUGCAAGUCGAGCGCCCCGCAAGGGGAGCGGCAGACGGGUGAGUAACGCGUGGGAAUCUACCCAUCUCUACGGAAUAACGCAUGGAAACGUGUGCUAAUACCGUAUACGUCCUUCGGGAGAAAGAUUUAUCGGAGAUGGAUGAGCCCGCGUUGGAUUAGCUAGUUGGUGGGGUAAAGGCCUACCAAGGCGACGAUCCAUAGCUGGUCUGAGAGGA